UGCGUAGGUGGUUAUUUAAGUCCGUUGUGAAAGCCCUGGGCUCAACCUGGGAACUGCAGUGGAUACUGGAUGACUAGAAUGUGGUAGAGGGUAGCGGAAUUCCUGGUGUAGCAGUGAAAUGCGUAGAGAUCAGGAGGAACAUCCAUGGCGAAGGCAGCUACCUGGACCAACAUUGACACUGAGGCACGAAGCGUGGGGAGCAAACA
rnacentral:rRNA from 1 species